AUUGACCUGCAUAACGAACAGGUAAAACAAAAUUGAUAUAUUUUCAACAUUAUUAUUAAUUGUGUACGUUUUUGUGGAGCUUUCGAACUCGCGUUAAGAGGACAUGAUGAGUGUAUGUCAUCUUCUAAUCCUGGGGUUUUCCGAGGCUUGAUUGAUUUUAGUGCUGAAUUAGACGGUGCUCUAAAACAACAUUUACAAAAAGCAUCAGUAUUUAAAGGUACAUCGAAGACAAUCCAAAAUGAGAUUUUGCAAACAAUGUUUAAUGUAUGUCAAGAAGAAAUUUGUAAGGAAAUAAAACAAGCAGAUUUUUUGUCCAUAAUAGCCGAUGAAACUAGUGACGUAUCAAAAUAUAUUUCAAAUGGCAAUUGUCUCUCAGUACAUCGUAAACGGUAAGCCAGUUGAACGUUUUUGGGAUUUUUUGGUGCCUUGUGAUCAUGACGCCAAAACUUUAUCUUCGGUUAUUCUGGCAGAGCUUGACAAACAUGUUAAAGAUAACAAAACCAAACUCAUUGCACAAACAUACGAUGGUGCAUCAUUUUAAGCGGGUCGUCUAACGGGGUGCAAGCAAUAAUUAAAAAAUCUUAUGAACAUGCUGCGUACGUGCAUUGCUAUGCACAUCAACUUAAUUUAAUAAUGUUAAAUGCUGCUUCUGCAAACAAAAACGUUCGAAUUUUCUUUGCCAAUUUACAAGGAAUUUGUUCAUUUUUUCCAAUAGUCCUCAGAGAUCGUUAGUACUGGACCAGAUUGUGAAAAAACGCUUACCACGCUCAGCCCCGACCAGGUGGAAUUUUAAUUCUAGAGUCGUUUGUACUGUAUUUGAAUACAAAGAUGGCAUUUUAGAGACAAUGAAACAAAUUUUAAAUGAAAGCAGAAAUAUUAGCACCACAAACCAGGCAUCAGGGUAUGUGAAAAUUCUUCAAAGUAGAAAUUUUGUUUUUUGGCUCAAUCUAUUUUAGAAGAUAAUGCCUCAUGUGGAUAUUUUAUUUAGUAAAUUUCAAUCGAGGCAAAUUGACGCUGCUCUUGCAAAUACCUACAUAUUAUCUUUUGAAAAUAAAUUAAUAGAAAUUAGAAAUAAUAUCACGGACGCUAUUGAGCCAUCUCCAUCGGAGCCAUCCAGGUCCAAACGACGUAGGCUAGGCUGGAUGACUACAGAAUUUUGUCGAGAAGCAAAAGAAGUAUGUGACAUUAUUAUUUGUCAAAAUAAAGAAAGGAGCGAUUCAGUUUUACCGGACACUUAGUCGCCGCUAGUCUUUUUUUUUCGGAGCAGUAUAACCAAUAAAGUAUUAAUUUUCCUGAAAUAAAAUUUAAAGAAACAAUAAAGUGUCACCCAUUUUUUAUAGAACAAAAGCUCCGAACAGAACUAAAAGUUAUUUAUGAAACACAGGAAUUUAGAUCAAUCUCGGGACUACUUGUGCUGUUUCACUAUAUUUCUCAGAAUGGUGAGCUUAGUGAAACAUUUAGUGAAACUAUUAAGCUUUUAAAAAAUUUAAUUACUAUUCCAAUGGCUUCAGCUGAAGCAGAACGGUGUUUUUCUACUCUCAAAAGGAUAAAAACAUUUCUACGAAACAUCAUGAACCAAGAAAGACUUUCUGCUUUGGCAAUGCUUUCCAAAGAAAGGGAUCUUUUCGAAAGCAUUCCUGAUUUCAAUCAAAGAGUAAUUGAUAAAUUUGCCGAGUCUUUUAUUUAAUUAUUGCAUUAUAUCAAAAGUUCGAGUUUUUUUGCUUAUUUUGGCCGUUUUGAAAGUGGGUAUGAGACCGAAAAAUGUUUUCGCCUCCGCCAAAGCGCCAGCGAUAAACUUUUUAGUCUUUCAUUCGCGAUCACCGACGGCCCCCUACAAUUGCAACCCCCAGAUUUGUAAAGCACGACCCGCCACUGAUUCAUAGCAUAUCACAGGAGUGUUAUAUCUUUCGAACUUUUCAUUAUUUCAGAAAUAUGUCAGUUACCUUUAUUCUUUAUGCAUUAAAAUAAUACAUCUUAAACCAGAUAUAUAUUAUACACAAUGGAGCAUAGCUCUGUGUGUAUAAAAAGGGUAUCUAAUUACUUAUAUAUAUAUAUUUUUUUUACAAUAUAAUAAAUGUUAACAAUCUAUACCGGGUGUCUUAGGAAAGUGGUUUAUAACUUUUUUAUCUUUUUUAUCCUUUUUCUCGUCAGAGAAAUUGCUACGCCUCCAAAGGAUUAGAGAAAGCCAGAGCAAUUACUAUUCUAGUGGGUCUCCCACUAAGAAUAAAAAUUUUAUAUGUAUAGUUUGACGCAAGAAGAGGAUCAAGCAUAGGGCUGCCAUUCCUCCCGAUUUAGGCGGGAGUCUCCCGAUUUCUUGUCAACCCUCCCGCCUUUUAUUUUAAAUUAUAAAUCUCCCGCAACCUCCCGCUUUCAUAAAAUUUUACGCCAUUUAAAUCGAUACGUUAAAUAUAUCGAUACGUCUCUCACAUUCCUCCAUUUCUAAAAGAUCGCCUCCUUGCGUAGACAGUUGAAAAUACUUAUGACAUUGAUAUUGACAUUAUAAAAACCGGUGAUUCCCAUAGAUGAUCGUAGCAGCAGCGAGCUCGGUAUUAGUUCUCAUUAGUUUUUCGUUCGCCAGAAGUGAGAAAGUUAAGUGAGUUUUUUGAAUUUCUUUACGAGAUAGACUUUGCAAAAUAUGACUUUAAGCUCAAGUAGUAGUGAAUCGGAAAUAGACUGGCUUGGCCUUGAUCAAAAUGAAGAGAUAGAGGACGGGGUAGAAGAUUACGGCAAUAUAUCCGAUACCGAAUCGCUGCCGGUAACAAGUAAAACAUCGCAACAAAUACGGAAGCAUAAGCAUACGAUCGAGGAAAGCAAAAACACACAUCAAGGAGUGAAAAAGAAAAAGUGGGAUGUCAAAUUUAACAAAGUUUGGAAAGAAAAAUAUGAUUGGAUUUUUGAAGGUAAUUUAAAUACUGAGGCACAAUGUCGAGCGUGUCGUUGUCAAUUUUCCAUUCAACACGGCGGGGAAAACGACAUUGUUAAACACUUGAGGACAGAAAAACACACUCAAAAUGUUAAUGCAACAUCAAAAACUAAAUCAGUAAAUCGGUAUUUUUCAUCUAUGGCUGACAAGGAUUCUAUAGCAUUGGCUGAAUGUGCUUUUGUUUUUCAUGCGAUAAAACAUGGUCAAAGCUACGCCUCGGCAGAUUGUGCUGGAAAACUAUUUCCCCUGAUAUUCAAGGAUUCCAAAACAGCUGAGAAAUAUUCAUGCGGAAGAACAAAGGCGACUAAAAUAGUCACCAAAAUUUUAGGUCCGGAAAGUAAAAAUAUUAUUAAGAAGGAUUUAGCGAAUGACAAUCCUUUUUCCCUUGCAACAGAUGCCUCAAAUAAGGGAAAAAACCAAGACAUUCCCAUUGAUUGUUAGGUAUUUCCAAACCGAAAAAGGCGUUAGCACAAAACUUUUAAAAUUUUAUUCAAAUUCAUCAGAAAAGUCAGUGGAUAUUGCUAAAUGCCUAAUUGAUGGUCUUGAUGAGGCAGGAUUAUCAAUUGAAAAUGUCACUGCUUACUGCGCUGAUAAUGCGUCGGUUAAUUUUGGAAAAAAACAGAGUGUUAUGACAGAGCUACACAAACAUAAUAAAAAUAUUUUACCCUUUGGCUGUGUAUGCCAUAUUAUUCACAAUGCCGGCAAGUAUGGACAAAAUGUUAUAAGGUACGAUAUUGAAACUAUUGUAAUCAAAUGUUACAAUGAAUUUAGCAGCAGCUCAAAAAAAAUUACAGAGCUUAAAGAUUUGUAUGUCUUUUGUGAACAAGAAUGGUCAGAGCUAUUACGUUCUGUUCCUACACGUUGGCUCUCAUUAAUUCCGGCAGUCGAACGUUUACUAAAACAUUUUGUUCCCAUCAAAUCAUAUUUUUUAUCUCGAGAAUCGUCACCUUUAAUUCUAAGAAUGUUUUUUGAAAACGAACUCGCUGAGGCUUAUUUAGGUAAGUAGAUGUUUUCGUUAUCCUUUAAUUAUUUUACUUCAAACAAAAAACAUUUUAGGGCUUAUUUUAAACAUAGGAACUGCCAUGAAUGCGGCAAUUUCUAAAUUGGAAUCCGAAAGUGCCUUAGCAGUAGAAUUGUUUGGAAUCAUGGAUACUUUAAGACGAUCCUUGGUGAUAAAAAAGGGAACAGAAGUUUUAUGGCUCAAUAGCCCUUUCUCUAGUACGAAAAUGUGAUAAUUUAGAUAUUGUAAAUAUUUUUAAGAAAGAAGCUGAUUCGUUAAUUGGGAGAAUCGUAGAAUAUUUAGAAAAAUGGUAUGACUUUACUGACAACAAAUGUAAAUACUUGAAAGCAAUGGAUUUGAGGAGUAAUCCAAGAUUGGAGGAUUUUAUGAAAAUUUCAGAAGAAUUUAGUAUUGACAUACAUGUUGAUUUAUUGUUUGAAGAAUUUGUGAACCUUUCAUCUUUUUUAGAAAGUCUCCGAAUUAUUCUAAAAUAUGUUCUUGUGUUUUUUCUCUUCCCCACUCUAAUGCCAUGUGUAAAAGAAUUUUUAGUUUAAUGUUUAUAGCGUGGAGAAAAGAAAGAAAUUCUCUUUCUAUAGAAACCUUAGAGUCAGAAUUAAUGAUUAAGCAUAACUUUACCGAAACUUGCCAAGAAUUUGUAAAAUUUUUAGAAAAAGAUGGGAAAACAUUCUUGAUAAAGUAGGGACCAGCUUAAAAUAUUUUUAAUUUAAGGAUUUAUUCGAGUUAUUUUAAGGCGUAACUCUGGCAUAAUAAUUGCCAAAAACGAGGCAAAAUAAUAUAUGUUUUUUUUUGUGUUAGGUAUGUUUAAUUUUUUUUGAAGUGUUUAAUAUAUGUAUCUUAAUUAUGUAAUUAAUAAGCUAAAGAAUAUAUUUCUUAAUGUUA
rnacentral:lncRNA from 1 species